UCUAAUCACUAUACCAGCCGGAACAUGCCCCAAUCUCGUCUGAUAUCGGAAGCUAAUCAGGGUCGGUCCUUUUUAGUACUUGGAUGGGAGACCAUCUGGGAAUACCAGGUGCUGUAAGCA
rnacentral:rRNA from 10 species